CCCCAUCCGUUGGGCCCCUCAGUCCUUUCUUCUCCCUCCAACACUUCCUAGGCCAUCCCAACCUGCACCCCAUCCCUACUUUACCCCAUACAUGCCUUCUCCCAUAGCCCCCUUCCGCCUCCCUUCCUCCCUCCCCAACACCCCCCUGCCUGCAACAACUUUCCCCAGCCUACAUGCCUGUAUCCCCCAGUUCAUUCCUCCAUUCAAGGGACUCCUCAGACCCCAUCUCUCUCCAACAUCCUCCCAGCUCACCACAACCUGCGCCUCCAUCGAUUCCUCCACCUGUAGGGACUGCUCAGCGCCCCUUCCUCACCAACAGCCCCCCCCAGUUCAUUCCCCCAUCCAUUGGGCCCCUCAGUCCCCUUUUUUCCUCCCUCCCACCGCAACCUGCAUCCCACUCUGACCCUAGAUCUGUGGGACACCCAGUGCCCUUUUCUCCUUUGUCCAGCAUUCCCCAACCUGCACCCCCAUUCCUCCCUCCACCCAUGGGGCCCCUCAGCCCUUCUCUCUCCUUCCUGCCCAACACGCACCCUUCAUAGCACACGGGCAGGCGAGCUAGGGGACGAAACCCGUGGGGAGCAGUGGAUUGUAGAGUGGAGCGGUGACUGAUAGUGUGGGCUCAGUCUCUGUUCCUCCACUGGGGCGGCUGGAGAUGGGAUGGGAGAGGGAGGCAGGGAUGAGGGUGUUAAUAGAGCGCUGUGUAGUGAUAGUUCCUGCUUGUCUUUAUUAGUUUGCAGAGGAAUUGUCCAGGAGCUGGAGCCGGAGGAGAAACAGGAAGAAGUGAACCUGAGCAGCCUGGAUAUCCUUGUAAGCAGAGAUGAAGAGUCCUCAGCUUUCUGCCUUCUCCAUGACUGGCUUACCACGGAGAAAGAAGUGAAGGGUAAGAGCCCACCCCAACUGUGAGAUGGAAGGCGCCCAAGAGCCGUGAGACAGUGAGCGUUGUUGAUUCCAGGCUAUGCAGAUGCCAUGAAGCUGGGAGUGGAGCAGACGUCACCAUCAGUGAGAUAAGUGUCUGGUUUCGUGAGGACUCUUGUAACGGUCCACCUGCCUCCAGGCCAGGACUUGUCGUUAGCUGGGGCUGAGUUUGUAGGAAAAGGUUCCUGAAUAGCUGUAGUUACGAGGGAGACAAGGUCCCCAUUUUCAGGGGCUGGUCAUUUCUCUGUCCACAAGCAGUGUGUUCUCUGCAGCAGAAGGUUGGAUCCAGGGGGAUGACUCCAGCUGAGGAAUCAUCCAGGAGCAGCAGCCGGAGGAGAAAUUGGCGCAAGUGGACCUGAGCUGCCUGGAAAUCCUUCUAAGCAGACAUUAACAGUCUUCAGCUUUCUGACUCCCGCAUAA